GAUGAACGCUGGCGGCGUGCCUAAUACAUGCAAGUCGAGCGAACAGAUGAGGAGCUUGCGCCUCUGACGUUAGCGGCGGACGGGUGAGUAACACGUGGAUAACCUACCUGUAAGACUGGGAUCACUUCGGGAAACCGGAGCUAAUACCGUAUGAUCUAUUGAACCGCAUGGGUCAAUAGUGAAAGACGGUGUUGCUGUAACGUAUAGAUGGAUCCGCGCCGGAUUAGCGAGUUGGUAAGGUCACGGGUUACCACGGCGAGGAUGCGUUGCCGACCUGAGUGGCGGAUCGGCCGCACGUGAGCGGGGCCACGGUCCAGACUCCUACGGGAGGCAGCAGUAGGGUACCUGCGGCAAUGGGGGAAAACCUGGCGCAGCGGCCCCGCGUCAGUGACGACGGUGUUCCGAUCGUGAAACUCUGUUUUUAGGGAAGAACAAAUGUGUAAUUAACUAUGCACGUCUUGACGGUACCUAAUCAGAAAGCCACGGCUAACUACGUG
rnacentral:rRNA from 1 species